GCGGGCGUGGAGGAACGGCAGACUCGCCAGCCUUAGGAGCUGGUGCUCGCAAGAGCGUGGGGGUUCGAAUCCCUCCGCCCGCACCA
rnacentral:tRNA from 1 species